AUUGAACGCUGGCGGCAUGCCUUACACAUGCAAGUCGAACGGUAACGCGGGGCAACCUGGCGACGAGUGGCGAACGGGUGAGUAAAGCAUCGGAACGUGCCCAGUAGUGGGGGAUAGCCCGGCGAAAGCCGGAUUAAUACCGCAUACGACCUAAGGGUGAAAGGGGGGGAUCGCAAGACCUCUCGCUAUUGGAGCGGCCGAUGUCAGAUUAGCUAGUUGGUGGGGUAAAAGCUCACCAAGGCGACGGUCUGUAGCUGGUCUGAGAGGACGACCAGCCACACUGGGACUGAGACACGGCCCAGACUCCUACGGGAGGCAGCAGUGGGGAAUUUUGGACAAUGGACGAAAGUCUGAUCCAGCCAUGCCGCGUGCGGGAAGAAGGCCUUCGGGUUGUAGACCGCUUUUGUCAGGGAAGAAAUCCUUUGAGCUAAUACCUCGGGGGGAUGACGGUACCUGAAGAAUAAGCACCGGCUAACUACGUGCCAGCCGCCGCGGUAA
rnacentral:rRNA from 1 species